AUAAAGUUUUAUUCUUGCUUGAAUAUUUAUUUCAUGAUUGUUUUACAUGUAAGUUUUUGUGUGUAUCUAUAAAAUCUUGAAGGUUAUAUAUAUUAUUCGCAGUAUUUAAUUUUAUUUAUUAAAGUUAUUUAGAAUUAGCAAUUUGUGAUUGUAUCGGCAAAAGUCGUGCCAGCUGCCGCGGUUAUACGUAGGAUAGAAAUAAAUAUUAUUAGUUAAGAGAGUUAUUUUAUAUAUUUGAAAAUAAAUUUAAAUUUUUUAGGUAGAAUUUUGAAAUUUGAUAAAUUUUUCUUGCUAUUAGGAAGAAGCUUUGAAACUUUAGAUUUAAACUAGGAUUAGAUACCCUAUUAUUUGAAGUGUAAAUUUUAUUAACUUGAGUAGUAAUAGUUUAUGUGCUUGAAACUCAAAGAAUUUGGCGGUGUUUUAGUCUAUUCAGAGGAAUCUGUCCCGUAAUCGAUAGUUCACGAAUUAUUAUACUUGGUCUUGUAUUAUCAACUUGUAUACCGCCGUCAUCAGAUUAUUUUUUUAGAAUUUUAAUUUUCUAAAAAUCUUAUUAGAUUAUAUGUCAGGUCAAGGUGCAGUUUAUGAUUAAGUGGAGAUGGAUUACAAUAGAAUUAUUUAUUUAUGGAUUUUAUAAAUGAAAAAUUAAUUGAAGGUGGAUUUGAUAGUAAUUUUAUUUUGGUAAUUUGAUUAUAGCUCUAAAACAUGUACACAUCGCCCGUCGCUCUCGUUAUUAAGGCGAGAUAAGUCGUAACAUAGUAGAUGUACUGGAAAGUGUAUCUAGAAAGUAA
rnacentral:ncRNA from 1 species